rnacentral:rRNA from 1 species
AGCUUGCUAAUGAAAUUCUUAGUGGCGGACGGGUUAGUAACACGUGAGAAUCCUACCCUUGAGUGGGGAAUAGCCUUUCGAAAGGAAGAUUAAUGCCCCAUAGUCUCUACGGAGUAAAGAUGCCUUCGGGUGUCGCUUAAGGAUGGGCUCGCGGCCUAUCAGCUAGUUGGUGAGGUAAGAGCUCACCAAGGCAACGACGGGUAGCUGGUCUGAGAGGACGAUCAGCAACACUGGAACUGAGACACGGUCCAGACACCUACGGGUGGCAGCAGUCGAGAAUCAUUCACAAUGGACGAAAGUCUGAUGGUGCAACGCCGCGUGGAGGAUGACGGCCCUAGGGUUGUAAACUCCUGUCAUCAGGGAGUAAGACUUAUUCGUUAAUAGCGUGUAAGUUUGAUAGUACCUGAAGAGGAAGGGACGGCUAACUUCGUGCCAGCAGCCGCGGUAAUACGAAGGUCCCAAGCGUUGUUCGGAAUAACUGGGCGUAAAGCGUGUGUAGGCCGCGCGGAAAGUCGGAUGUGAAAGCCCAAGGCUCAACCUUGGAACUGCAUCCGAUACUCCCGUGC